GACGAACGCUGGCGGCGUGCUUAACACAUGCAAGUCGAACGGUGAAGCACCUUCCUUUUGGUGGGUGUGGAUGAGUGGCGAACGGGUGAGUAACACGUGAGUAACCUGCCCCCUUCUUCUGGAUAACCGCAUGAAAGUGUGGCUAAUACGGGAUAUUCUGGGUCUGUCGCAUGGCGGGCCUGGGAAAGAUAUUGUUUCGGUGGGGGAUGGGCUCGCGGUCUAUCAGCUUGUUGGUGGGGUGAUGGCCUACCAAGGCGGUGACGGGUAGCCGGCCUGAGAGGGUGGACGGGCACACUGGGACGGAGACACGGCGCAGACUCCUACGGGAGGCAGCAGUGGGGAAUAUUGUACAAUGGGCGCAAGCCUGAUGCAGCGACGCCGCGUGAGGGAUGGAGGCCGUCGGGUUGUAAACCUCUUUCGCCAGUGAAGCAGGCCUGUCCCUUUUGUGGGUGGGUUGACGGUAGCUGGAUAAGAAGCGCCGGCUAACUACGUG
rnacentral:rRNA from 1 species